AGUACGAUCGCAAGAUUAAAACUCAAAGGAAUUGACGGGGCCCCGCACAAGCAGCGGAGCAUGCGGCUUAAUUCGACGCAACGCGAAGAACCUUACCAAGGCUUGACAUAUACAGGAAUAUGGCAGAGAUGUCAUAGCCGCAAGGUCUGUAUACAGGUGGUGCAUGGUUGUCGUCAGCUCGUGUCGUGAGAUGUUGGGUUAAGUCCCGCAACGAGCGCAACCCUCGUUCUGUGUUGCCAGCAUUUAGUUGGGGACUCACAGGAGACUGCCGGGGUUAACUCGGAGGAAGGUGGGGAUGACGUCAAAUCAUCAUGCCCCUUAUGUCUUGGGCUGCACGCAUGCUACAAUGGCUGGUACAAACGGCUGCGAUACCGCAAGGUGGAGCGAAUCCGAUAAAGCCAGUCUCAGUUCGGAUUGGGGUCUGCAACUCGACCCCAUGAAGUCGGAGUUGCUAGUAAUCGUAGAUCAGCAACGCUACGGUGAAUACGUUCCCGGGGCUUGUACACACCGCCCGUCACGUCACGAAAGUCGGUAACACCCGAAGUCAGUGGCCCAACCGCAAGGAGGGAGCUGCCGAAGGUGGGAUCGGUGAUUGGGACG
rnacentral:rRNA from 1 species